UCAGCAAUGAUUCUUAGUGGCGAACGGGUGAGUAACGCGUAGACAACCUGCCUUCUAGAUGGGGACAACACUGCGAAAGUGGUGCUAAUACCGAAUGUUGUAUUAAGCCUGCAUGGGCUUGAUACUAAAGGUGGCCUCUAUUUAUAAGCUAUCACUAGAAGAUGGGUCUGCGUCUGAUUAGCUAGUUGGUGAGGUAAUGGCUCACCAAGGCGAUGAUCAGUAGCCGGUCUGAGAGGAUGAACGGCCACACUGGGACUGAGACACGGCCCAGACUCCUACGGGAGGCAGCAGUGGGGAAUCUUCCGCAAUGGACGAAAGUCUGACGGAGCAACGCCGCGUGAGUGAAGAAGGUUUUCGGAUCGUAAAGCUCUGUCUUUGAGGACGAAUGUGUCUAAUGUGAAUAAUGUUAGAUAAUGACGGUACUCGAGGAGGAAGCCACGGCUAACUACGUGCCAGCAGCCGCGGUAAUACGUAGGUGGCAAGCGUUGUCCGGAAUUAUUGGGCGUAAAGCGCGCGCA
rnacentral:rRNA from 1 species